CAGGUUUAUCCGCUUGACGCAUCACGUAAGGCCCUAUACCCUUGAAAUUAUUUAUACUGCCGACCAGUUUUGAUUUUCUUUUCUCUUGGGUCAGUCAACUUUUGUCGCAUUUGAAAACAACGCAAACAAAAAUGUAAAAUGGGACUGGUUUCUCUUCAUCAUUAUUGUACUGAAAGUGUGGUCAAGAUAAAUGUUUCAACGUAUUAAAAGUAUUUGGCUAAAGAACAAUGCCCACCUAGCAGUUAGGAAUUCCCAAACAAACAUCACAGGCCAUUGGAAAAAAAAGAUAAACAGUUUCCAAGUGUGUAGACUAUUUAGCCGGUCAAAUAUAUCCGGUGGAGAUAAAGUGCAUUUAGAAGCGACCCGGAUACAUAUAGUCGUCAGUUGUAUCCAGGGGAGGUCAUUACAGUUUGAAUUUUUCGCCCAGCACAAAGUUCUGUCCUUUUUUUUGUUUGGUCCAUCAUGACAUUAACUCUCAAAUUGAUUUCAGUGUCUGUGAUGACUAUCGGUUCCUUGUCCAUCUUUUUCCAGAUCUGCGAGUUGAUUUUGUUUCGAUCAGCCAACAGCACCUUCAAAGAACCUGACAUCGUUUCGGCCGGCAUCUGGGGUGGAGUUUUCCUUGUCUUAUUCGCUGGACUGCUCUUGAAUAAUCGGUUGAGAGAUACCAGAGCUAUACAGGGACUGGCCAUUUACGGAAUAUUAGUUGGCGUCACUAUCGUAGGAUUGUAUUCCUGGAGCAUCAGCCGAUACCAAUCGGCCGUCUCCCGUUGCCAAAGCAUCAGCGUAUCCAACGUGAAUUUGUGUGGUCGAGUGGCUCUCGAUUCCUUGCUCGUCAUUUGCGGAAUUUUGACCGUGGGACUCAACGUCUGCACUGCUGCGAUGGCGUCGAAAUUUGCAUUGGAUUGAACAAGUUCGACGAACCGUUGUCAGCAGCUUAUUUGAAUAUUAUCGUAACAAGUUCAGUACUUGUUUUCUUUUUUACCCAGCUUGGCAACAAUGAAUGUUUUUUUUUUUUUUGUAUUUGAUUAAAUUAUUCCAUUAAAAGUCACAGUCCAAUUGAAUAGCGAAUUGUUAUUCAAUUUAAAGUUGCUGUUGAAGUAGAGUUCAGUGGCCAGGUGAGAGGCGGCCAUUUCAUCUAUGGAGGAGGUAAGCCACGUCACGAAAUUGGCCACCAGCCCGAAAUCCUCGUCCAAAAUAUUUACAUACAGGUCUGAGGCCAGCACUUGGACUUCCGCCUUUCUAGCGCACAAUCCGUUGAUGUAGAGGUCUUCGAACGGGAAAUAGGGCGUGGUCUGGGCGGCCGCUAAUAGAGGACCGAUAGCGCUCGAGUCAAUCAGAUAACAUCCGCCGGAGACGUACGUCGGGUACGUUGACCACGGCCACAAUUGCCGAUCGAUGAUCCAUUUGUCGCUGUCAUCCGCCGGCUGAGAUGACGAACCCAAUUCUUUAGGUCUCAGAGGUUUCAAGUUGGACACGGAAGUCCCGUACACCCUAGGAAUUUUGGGCGGAAGCUGCUGGACGACCUCGGCCAAAUUGCGGGUGUUUAUGUAAAUAUCGUCGUCGCAUUUAAAGAUGAACGGAGCAUCCGGACAGAAUUUGGAAGCCCAGUGGAGUAGAGCGACGGAUUUCAGAGUUAAAUUCAUAUAAGUGUCGACCAUGUCGACUUGGAUCAAGUCCUCGUAAAUGGAACUCUCGUUGCGGAUGCCUUGCUGGACGGCGGAUUGAUCGGUCGAUCCGAUCAAGAAAGCGUAUUGAAUUCCUUUUAAAUGAGUUACCCACGUCCGUCUGAUUAAUUUGCGGUGAAGAAAAUUCCCUGGCGCGCUAAUGACGACAAUUAAUAGCCUCCUAUCAUCACGACAUCGGUCUGUGACUGUCCUCGGGUUGAUUGAGUAUCUGAAAUGGACGUCGUUCAACACCGGCCCGAAUUCCGGUUUCAAUGGGACACCUCCGGCGAUGGGCUUCAACUUGAAUUGUGACGUCAUGUGACGGGUGUACUCGUCGACCCCGGCGAAUUUUCCGGCAGAUCGGCCGUGAAAAUCAUCGGCCAGCAACUGAUGUCGGCUGCUGUUGGUUUCCGUGUUGAAAUUGUGGCGAACUGAGAUCAAGUAGAGAUAGAAAACGGUUAAGGCGAGACUAAAAAGCCGAAGCCACUGCAUGACGACACUGAGAACCGACAUGGUGACUGCCGACUGGCUGCGGUCCACUGAAACUAAUUUUAUCUCAUUCAAUUAAGGGCUACACCCAAUAAUGUUUGGCGAUGGACAAUCGACAGAUGCGGUUACUACUUAAACGGAUGUAUGCACAGUUGCGCAAGGUUGGAGCGACCAGACAUUAGCGUCACAACAGCUGUUUCUAGUUGACACAUUUUUAUAGGUUGACUAAGUACGUUCACUAUUAUUAGUCGUUUACAAUUUUAUUCUGAUAAUGUACAAGUCUGAGAUUUCAGGAAGUGAUUUUUUAUUAAUAAAGGAAGGAAUUAAAUUUUAAAUUAAUGUGCUGCGCGUUCUAGGUGGAGCCAAUGGAUCCGAUUUGUAGAAGUAAGUCGGUUUGGACCUGUUGAUUGGCCGGCGACAGGUGGAGUAGAGGAUGGCCGAGUUGACGAUGAUUGCAAAAGAGCCGAGGGCGAUCAUCAGUCCAUGCAGAGUCACUAGGGCUUUACCUGUCGAUACAUUUGUCUAAUUAAUUUAAAUAUUAUGUGCUGAAUAAUAAUGUUAACGUUUUAUUUACACGACUCAGGAUCGAUGAGGAGACCGGGUGCGUAAAAUUCGCAAAUUUCCCACGUCGUGUAAACUUUGAAGAAUCGAUUCAAAUUCCAUGAGUAAAUGACCAACAUGAUUAAGCCGCUGGCAAUUGACAGACAGGAUUUGAAUGAUUUACCUGUCCAGUAUAAUCAAAGUGGCGGCGGCUAUCAUCACAGCCCCGCCCCACAGUCCCGAAGAGACGUAAUCAACCACCUGGCGAGUGACGGCAUAACUUGCAAUCUACCAAAACGAUUUUUCACCCAAAAUUGAACAUACCUGGGCACUGAUGGAUAAAAGUCCGAUCAAGAUACUAGCGGUUGCCAACAAUUUCCGGUACAUUUCUCAUCGCCACACUGGCGGAUGUGAUGAUGAGCACAACAACACGUUGACUGAACUGCGGGAGUAAACAGGGUGUGGCACUUGGUUGUAAAUAAUAGGAUACAGAUGGGGCUAGAGCCGCUAGCUCGAGCAAAGCACAAUAGAACUAUCUCUAAUGAAUGCAAACGCACUUGUGUUUCCUUAUCACGUUCCCGGAGCGAUCACGUCGAACGGCCUGUCCACGGGUCGUGUCCCAAUUUGAAAUGAUGAUAACUUUGAUAAGAUAGGGAUUGACUAGGAGAUGGAAUGCCUUUCGAGAUAUUACACUGGUGACCCAAAAG
rnacentral:misc_RNA from 1 species